rnacentral:rRNA from 1 species
AUUGAACGCUGGCGGCAGGCCUAACACAUGCAAGUCGAACGAGUGGCGGACGGGUGAGUAAUGUCUGGGAAACUGCCUGAUGGAGGGGGAUAACUACGGGAAACGGUAGCUAAUACCGCAUAACAUCAGAUGUGCCCAGUUGGGAUUAGCUAGUUGGUGGGGUAACGGCUCACCAAGGCGAAGAUCCCUAGGUGGUCGUAGGGGAUGACCAGCCACACUGGAACUGGGACACGGUCCAGACUCCUACGGGAGGCAGCAGUGGGGAAUAUUGCACAAUGGGCGCAAGCCUGCUGCAACCAUGCCGCUUGUAUGAAGAAGGCCUUCGGGUUUUAAAGUACUUUCAGCGGGGAGGCGGUACCCGCAGAAGAAGCACCGGCUAACUCCGUGCCAGCAGCCGCGGUAAUUC